rnacentral:misc_RNA from 1 species
GUUGUAACAACAAAUAGGAAGACAGGGGAGGACCCACAAUUGAAUCGACUAGGCAUUAACAUAAGUGGCAAAAUAUUCCCCGCUACAUAACCCAAAGCUUGAGAAGCUUUGGAUAAAAAAAAUAUGCUCCUGUAAUCAUGGCAAGGCAAAAAGUCGAGGAAUAAUUCUUGACCCUUACAGUAUCUCAAAAUUUCUUGACCCACAAUAUAAAGUACAAGGAAAAGUGCAAAUAUCAAUGAGGAAAUCGGCAAAUACUGCAAAUAGACAUUAGUUGCCAGCAGUACUCAUCUUGAGCUUCUCCAACAACCAACCUAAAUUUCACCAGCAUCUCUUAGGUUUCAAAAUGUCAAAUUGCAAUACGCUAGUGCAGAAAACAACAUAUCAAAAC